rnacentral:rRNA from 1 species
UACGUAGGUGACCAGCGUUGUCCGGAUUUACUGGGCGUAAAGAGCGCGCAGGCGGUCGUUCAAGUCGAGUGUGAAAGCCCCCGGCUCAACUGGGGAGGGUCACUCGAUACUGAUCGACUUGAAGGCAGGAGAGGGAAGCGGAAUUCCCGGUGUAGUGGUGAAAUGCGUAGAUAUGGGAGGAACACCAGUGGCGAAGGCGGCUCACGUGACCGUACGUCGUGACUGCGUGAGGCGACGGCAAAGCG